GCCCAGAGGUCAGAAGUGAGAUGUAACCAGAGAUCCCAGACCUCCCGGACCAGAUCGUGCCGCAAACGAAAUGCCAGCUCGAGCUCCCACAGCUCUACGGAAGGCCUCCCGGAACUAAAGCGGAGGAGGGUGUCAGCCUCAUCCCGCUGCCAGCUGGCCCUCAGUUCCUCAAAGACAGUGAGUGAGGACGGACCUCAGGCUGUCUCUUCGGGUCACACCCGGUGUGAAAAGGCGGCAGAUACAGCACCAGGGCAGACACUCACCCCCAGGGGUGGCUCCCCGUGAUCCCAGGCCUCUAGGCCCCGCAUCAACAGUGCACUGCACGUUGAGGACAAGGCCAUCUCGGACUGCAGACCCUCACGGCCUUCCCACACUGUCCUCACUUGCAACAGGGGCUUCUGGUGGGCCUCCCGUUUCUAAAGCACCCACUAUGGAUGCACAGCAGGACAGACCCAAGUCCCAAGACUGCCUGGGCCUAGUGGCCCCCCUAGCAUCUGCUGCAGAGGUCCCCUCUACAGCUCCCGUGUCUGGGAAGAAGCACAGACCACCAGGACCCCUGUUCUCCUCCUCAGAUCCCUUUCCUGCCACCUCUUCCCACUCCCGGGACUCAGCCCAGGUCACCUCGCUGAUUCCUGCCCCCUUCCCAGCUGCAAGCAGGGAUGCCGGCAUGAGAAGA
rnacentral:lncRNA from 1 species